rnacentral:rRNA from 1 species
UACGAAGGGGGCUAGCGUUGCUCGGAAUCACUGGGCGUAAAGGGUGCGUAGGCGGGUCUUUAAGUCAGGGGUGAAAUCCUGGAGCUCAACUCCAGAACUGCCUUUGAUACUGAGGAUCUUGAGUUCGGGAGAGGUGAGUGGAACUGCGAGUGUAGAGGUGAAAUUCGUAGAUAUUCGCAAGAACACCAGUGGCGAAGGCGGCUCACUGGACACGUAUUGACGCUGAGGUGCGAAAGCGUGGGGAGCAAACAGG